rnacentral:snoRNA from 1 species
GGCGCUUUAAUUCCAGUGUCUGUGGCUAAUAAAUCCAUGGACACUGCUUGUACUUAGCGCUAGAUAAAUGUGACCACUGAACCAUUGGUGUUGCUGUAACUCACCUAGCAGCACUUCACUGAUUUGUGGCCCACAUU